GUAUUAACUGAUGAUUAUGGGGUUUUUGCUAAAGGACACAAGGAAAAUUUAUACUGUUGGAGGAUAAUGUCAAUGUAAAUCCUCGAACAAGUAAAAAGUUCGUAGUUCGUUUGCCAGUCAGUAAUUAAUAUCAUGAUAGGAAGGAUGUAUAGGUUGUUUUUGAUAUACAGUAUUGUUAAUUUAUCACCGACCGUAUCGUCAAGUGAUGGAAAUGUUAUAACAAGUGCCCCUGAGUCCUGUGCAUCCAGUCCUGAACAAGGAAACGGCAACAUACCGGCGUAUUCUUUGUACAUAUUGGGAACUAUAUCAAUACUCUUACUUAUAGCAUUGAUAGCAUUAAUAUUAUACGUCUUUUUAAGGCCGAAGUUCCAGAAGUUCCAUAUAACCACACAGCUGGAGAAUGGUGCCCAGUGCCCGACGUGUCAGAAAACGUCUGGUUCAAAAAGGGAAAGUGAAAAUAACCAAUCGAUAAUACGAAUAGAGAGUAAAUCUAUUACAACAAAUGAUUUUACAACAAACACUCUUCGCAGUCUUAAGAAACUAGAAGCAUCAAGUGACAAGUCUCCAAAGUUUACUAAAGGUGUCGCUAAAGAUUUAUCUUAUAUUUUACCUAACCAGAUCACGUCAAUUUGUAAAGAAGUGUUAAAACGUACUAAUGAGAACGAUUUAUCAAGCAGUCUUCAAAAAAUAGAUCAAUUAGUGAAUGAAGGAAAGCUCCAGGAAGCCACAUCUUCUAAAUGUGCAUCAAUUGCAUCUUUAGAUACUUAUGACACCCUUCCAAAAACCUACUGUGGUAGAAAGCUCAAUAAACAGAGAGGUGGAAAUAUCAAGACUAGUGGCAAAGUAAAACCAAAAUCAAACUGUGAAAUAUAUGACUUUCCUAAAGAACAAAAUUCAUUAUACGAUUUUCCGAAACGAGGUGAUGGUGUUAAAAUUAGUAAUAUUAGUGACAACAAUCCAAAAUCCAAUUUGGAAAUAUAUGACUUUCCUAAAGAACAUAAUUCUGUUCGCCAUUUACCGAAGUCAAAUGAUGGUUCAAGUGAUCGAAAUCCUGGAAUAUAUGACUUUCCUCCACCAUCUAAACAUUUAAAGUCGAAAUGUAAAACACCAGACUAUGGUCAGACAGAGGAUAAGUCAUUCAAGCAAAGUGUUAUUCGACCCGAAUCUAUAGAUGACAGUACAGAUAACAUUUACAUGAACGCAAAUGACAUAGAAAUGUUAUAAAAUAUUAUGACAAUAAUAUGUACUUUGCCAGUUUACGUAGAAGUUGGUUAGUUGGCAGCGAUUUUGACAGCCCAGACAGUGCAAGUGUUAUUUUAAACGUCAAACUUCUAUGAAAUUAUAAGACGUUUACUUAAUACUUGCACAGCCUGGGCUAUCAAAAUCGCUGCUAACUUAGCUUGGUCUGACUAUAGUAGUAACGUAUGUAACGUCCUAAUUUAAGCGUUUAAGAACCCGUUGUACAACAAGUAUCUCAAAAGCUUAAAAUCUUGUUAGUGUUAAUUAUAGGAAAGGAUUACAUAUAUACACAUACAUAGAAUGUGUAUAAUUGACACAACCUUGGCAUUAACUUGGCAUUACUAACACGAUAUGAAUUUUGUUCGACAUAAAUGAUUUUUGAUUGAUUUGAUUUAUGAUCCAUAAGUGAAACUAUGUCUACCUGUGUCUCACCUAUUUUCAUAAAUAUUAAUUUUGUUUAAUAUUGUAUUACUACUAAAAUUAAAUUCAGGAACUUAAAUAGACUAGCCUGGUAAGUUUGAAACCUCCUCGAAUUUUGCCCCGCCUACCAUUAAGUCAUUCGAGCAAACGCUGCCUCGCACAGCUAAACUGUGGAAUGAACUGUCGCCUGCGGUAUUUCCGGACCGAUACGACCUUCAAGAAAAGAGCGUACUCCCAUCUUAAAGGCCAGCAACGCACUUACAACCCCUCUUGUGUUGCAGGUGUCCAUGGGCGGCGGUAAUUACCAUCAGGUGAUCCGUCUGCUCGUUUGCCUCUUGUAUCAUUAAAAAAAACUAAUUUAAAAAAUAAAACCUAGAAUUUGUAAUACUAUAAUACCUAUGCCCAUGAAAAGACCUAACAUAUUGUGUCGAUCUACGUAUACAUGCUUAAUCUUAGUUUCGGCUCAUAGACUCUACCGGUGACCAGAGAGCUGGCAGCUUUCUCUCGCAGCGCAUAAGUAUUGCCAUUCAGCGAGGGAAUGCUGCCAGCAUCUUUGGCACAAUGCCGCGGGGGCCUUAUUUAGAUAUAUUUUAAUUUAGAUUAGUUUUUACCAUUUUGUUUUAUUAUGUGCUGUAUGUUUCCCAUUAAAUGUAAUUUUUAUUAUUAAUGAAAUAAACACAGUUUCCUGUAAAAUAUAUAAUAAUAUGUUGAUGACGGUUCUAUGGCUAAUGGGAUCCUUCUACUUAUUGUUUUUUUUUUAAUUAUUUACAUAAGAAUUUAAUAAAAAAAAUAUAUCAGGAGCGUAGACAACCGUGGAAGCAACUAACUUAUUUAGCAUAAUAAACAGUUGAAACUUUCUGUAUGUUUUUUACCGUUUUUAUAAUAAUAUUGUUAUUAUCAUAUGCCUUAAUUUGAAAUGAAAAACUUGACAUCUGAAUUUCACGCUAAUUAAUAUUUUGUAUUAUUUAGAAUAUUUAGAUGUGAAAAAACCCUAUAUUAUUAUACAUAUUAAUGUAUUGUUGCAUUUCUGGAAGUCCCAAUAUACUAACGGAAAAUCAACAUUCAUUGAAUUAUAUGCAAUUUUAUUGUCUUUAUAUAAUUUUGUACAAAUAGUAUUUAAAUUAAAAUAUCAGAGCUCAAACAGGGUGCGGAGUGUUAGGGUCAGCAACCUCUGGAGUUGCAGGCGUCCAAAAGCUACGGAGACAGCUUACCAGCAGACGGGCCGUAUGCUUAUGCGGGCAACCGCCACUGAUGUAAUAUAAAUAAACAAAAAUGGGCGGCAAACUGCUUCUUGCACGAUUAUCCGAGUCAUGGAAAAUAAGGAUUGGGUAUUAAGUUCAGCCCAUAAGUACUUGAUAAAAUUUAGGUAAGUAGGCCAGCCGGUAGCGGCGAGAUAACAGGCGAUUGACUAUUUUCUCUUAUAAGAUACGUAGGUAUAGCGAGCUGCAAAAGCGCAUGGACAAAUUAUGAAUGGAAUUUAUUCAUAAAGUGACCAUGCACCUGUGCCUCUAAGUCUCGAUGAUUGAUCGAGAUUUGAAAUCAAUUAUUUGACGGGAUGUAGAUCUAUACCCAAUAUUAGACUUUGCAUAUUUAUAAUUAAUUAAUUAUUAAGAUUAAGAGAAAAAAUACGUAUAGAGAAACUCGCCCACCGCAGCUUGCUUUUCGCAAGUCGUUGGUGUUGGGACUGAAUUAGGUAGUAUGUAAUUACCUACGUAAGUAAGUAUCUAAAUGAAAUAAAGAACCUAUGACGCAUCUUCAUGAGUUGGAAGGCAAGUACUUUGAACAUACCCAUGCGUAAGUAAACCUUUCAUCGUUCGCAAUUUAUACCUUUAGCUAGUCACGCACGAGGCGUCAAAGAGUCGAUCACAAUACAUUCGCACAAAUUCCUAAAAGUCAAACCAAUCGGUAAAGUAAUGUGGGGGAAAUUGCUUUCUUUGGUUGUAUUUAACAUGAUUUCGGGUACCUAAUGGAUAUGUUUUCUUGUAUAAGGAAAAAAUAUUGCUUCGGAAAUGAUGCAGACGUUUUUAUUGGCUUUCAAAAACCUGGUCUUUGCUUAAAUUCAAUGUGUUUUGAUGGGUCUACCAAAGUAAAAUGUCACGAAUAUAACAAACAUUUGUAUCUAUUUACAACAAAGGAUCGAUAGUUAAAUUGCUAACGUUUGUGUAUUUAUUAUAAAGGGUCAUAAGGAAAAUGUGAAAUGUGUCAUCAUAAUACAGUUGUCCUCUAACUAGUGAACUACAGUAACCAUUUAUUAAUCGGUGCGUUAAUUGUUCACUCGUCUACGAGUUAUUAUAUAGGUAGUAUCCAAUUACUAGUUUGACUAGAGGGAUGCAUACGUUAUUUGUGAUAUUCAGCAUUAUCAGUUUGUCAUUGCCGUUUAGUGCUUCUAUAUCAUGUCCUCCCUGUCUGAAAAAUGAUUACGAUAGGAUACCAGCAUAUAUCCUAUAUAUAUUGGGAUUAAUGUCGAUACUGCUUCUUAUAGUGUUGAUAACAUUAAUAUACGUGUUAUUGAAGACGAAGUUCCUGAAACGCAACCAUAAUACACAGCCUGCUGAAAAUUUUGAAGAAAGAGAUGCUCAGUGCCCAACGUGUCAGAAAACAACAGCGGGAGGAAUUCAUUUGGAAAUGAAUAACGGAGGUGUAAAAAAUGAAAACGAAAAUAUUUAUACUUUAAAAAGACAAGACAGUGAAGUUCUGAUAACAAAUGACUUCAACACUCUACGAAGUCCUAAGAAAUCCGAUGCUUCGGGCAAUGUUUCUCCAAGAAUUAUAAAAGGUGUUGCUAAAGAUUUACCAUAUAUAUUACCGGAACAAAUGACACUAAUUUGCAAAGAAGUAUUAAAACGUGCUGCCAAAAACGAUUCAAUAAACAGUCUUCAAAACAUAGAUCAAUUAGCGUAUGAAAACAAACCUAAGGAUGAAAUCGAUUUGAAAUGUGCAUCAACUCCAGCUUUAGAUUUGUGUGACACUCCUACAACACCCCACAGUGAUAGAAAAAAUCAAUCAGAUAAGAAUUGUUUUACAAACCCGGGAUCUAGAACUUCAAAUAUUAGUAAAGCGGAUGAUGGUUUAGAAAGUGGAAGUCAUUCAAGAGAUGACAAACUAGAACCCAGUUUAGAAAUAUACGACUUUCCUAAAGAACCAAAUAACAUAUACGAUACAAUUCCACGUGAGAAAAGUAAAAAAGUAGAAAAUUUAUUAGGCUACGUAACACCAUGUUUUGAAAAUGAAUUGUUAUCUGGACAUUUCAAGCCUAAACAGGAAAAGCAUAAUUAUGCCGAGAUAAAAGAUAUUUCAUCCGAACAAAGUACGAUUAAAAAUAAGUCUACAGAUUACAAUGAAUAUGAUAAUCCAAAGAAUGCAAAUGAAAUAAACAAAAUGUACAUGAACGCGAAUGACGUAAGAAUACCGUAAAAGAUUUGAUUACAAUGAAAUAUGACAGUUGCAUUUUACAUGUAUCCUGGAGGAGUCGUGCUAAGUAAUAUAUUUUAAAGGUGGAAAUGUUUUUAUCUAUAAACAUAUCGUAAAUAAUGGCCAACAUUACGAUAAACUGUUUUGUUACAACAAAUUUCUUAUCUGUGAUGAUGUUGUAAUUGCUUGAUAACUACAUCAAAAUCGAUUAGGUUAUACAUUCAAAUUUGGAACAUCGCUGAAUAAAAAAACAAUUCGAUUUGCCCUC